AUUUUUGUUCCGUGGGGGGGGCAAAGGGGGUGUACAGGAAAGUGCCCCGUCAGUCGACUGGAAGACGAAAAAGCGAAGAACGCUUGGUAAACACGAGACGGCAUGUCAACCUCACUCUCGUCCCUCCUUUUCCAAUUCUGCUUUGGACGUAGCGUGGGCGCAACCCCCACCCCGUGACGCACGCGCCUCCUCCUACGUCUCGGUACGUCUCCCCCUCCCCCUCUCGUUUCAAUCCGC
rnacentral:lncRNA from 1 species